rnacentral:rRNA from 1 species
GACGUAGGGCGCGAGCGUUGUCCGGAUUUAUUGGGCGUAAAGAGCUCGUAGGCGGCUUGUCGCGUCGACUGUGAAAACCCGCGGCUCAACUGCGGGCCUGCAGCCGAUACGGGCAGGCUAGAGUUCGGUAGGGGAGACUGGAAUUCCUGGUGUAGCGGUGAAAUGCGCAGAUAUCAGGAAGAACACCCGUGGCGAAGGCGGCUCUCUGGGACGUGACUGACGCUGAGACGCGAAAGCGUGGGGAGCGAACAGG